rnacentral:lncRNA from 1 species
CUGAAGAUGGCGGCUGUGGCAGGCAGGAAGGUUGCUCUUUCCUCGGUUGUUCAGAAUAUGAGUGCUACUCCCAGGGGUAUUUCUACUUUGGCAGUUUUCAGGCCUACUGCUUCUAGAAGAACCUGCUUGACAGACACACAGUGGUCUGCCUCUGCCCAGGCAGAGUUUGCCUUUAGCAUCAGUUGCUCAUUCCAUGCCCCAGCUGUUCAAAGAGCUGAGUCUUGAAGACUGUAAUCGGAAAUACUUGCUGUCUGUUUUCCAGCCUUUGGAUCUCACAUUUGUUUCCUAUGGAUAUCCUUGCUGUCAGUGAUAAAGCCAAUGACUUUCAUGACUGUUAAGUAGUUUCAGUUUCAGAUUUCCAUCUUGCCCAAAGAAGAAUGGUGGAUCACUACACAAAGGAAGAAUGGUGGUUUGGGCCACACGAAUAUGCUGUUGUCAAUUUAACUAAGCAAAUAGCCUGAGAUUGCAGGGCACUGCUGAAGGUGCUGGCAUUGCAUUCAGAGGCCUCUUCAUUAUUGACCUUAAUAGUGUCACCAAGCACCUGAGUGUCAAUGACCUUUUGGUAGGAGCCACCUGGAGGAAACCCUCAGUUGGUUAAGGCAUUCCAGUUUGUGGAAACCCAUGGAGAAGUCGGCCCCAACAGGGAUACCAGAAUCCCCUAUGAUCCAGCCACCCAACAGCUUCCAAAGACUACUUUGAGAAGGUCCAUC